AACGCACGAGACCUGCGGACCUGCGGAAGGAUCAUUACCGAGUUUACAACACCCAAACCCAAUGUGAACGUUACCAAACUGUUGCCUCGGCGGGAUCUCUGCCCCGGGUGCGUCGCAGCCCCGGACCAAGGCGCCCGCCGGAGGACCAACCAAAACUCUUUUGUAUACCCCCUCGCGGGUUUUUAUAUCUGAGCCAUCUCGGCGCCUCUCGUAGGCGUUUCGAAAAUGAAUCAAAACUUU
rnacentral:misc_RNA from 1 species